UGAUUUUAAUAGUGGAAAAUUAGCGCCAAUAGCAGUGAGGGCAAGGGUUGUUAAAAGGCUUGGUAAAGUUUAUUAUGAACUGCAAGAUGUAGAGGGAAAUAAUAUUGGCGUAUAUCAUUCAAAAGACAUUUGGUUAUAGAAUUGGAAAUCUUAACUUGGCCAAACACACGGAAAAGGAGGGGGAGAUGGUGAUGUAAAUUUGUGAUAUAUCACAAAACUCAUUUGUUACUUAAAAUUGGAUUAAAAUUUGUUGUUAAAUUACUUUGAGAUAGGAGAAUUAAAGAAAAAGAAAAGCGACAUUUGAUUUUUUGUAUUUGUGACAAUGGAAAAAUUAUUCUGAGAAAAAAGAAAAAAAAAGAAAAGAAGAACAAUUUUAAUUUUCAAGCGGAGAAGACACACAUUUUUUGUCGGAAGAAAAAAACUAACUAAAAUAAGGAAAUGUGUUAAGAAAAUUGAAUUUUCAUAAGUCGCCAAUGGAUUUUAAAUUUUCGUCUGUUAAUUAAGAAACCACGAGGAAUUAAUAACCUCUGCUGAUCGUGAAAGUAAAUCAAAUUCAAAAUUCAUUGUUUCUGGUUUGCAAACAAAUUUAGCAAAUCUAAAAAGCUACCUAUAAUCUUAAUUUUAUUGUAACGGGCCUAGACACAUACUUUCUGUAAGAACACCUCCCAAAUGCCCUGAGCACGGCCGGAAUCAAAGGUAGCAAAGGUAGCACUACGUGGUGGGUAGUGCAGUGGAUCGUUACACCACAAAUUUUAUCGAUAGGGGUUUCAAAAUAAGCGACAAAUCCUUC